rnacentral:lncRNA from 1 species
CCUGGCGAAGCAAGAAGGUUGGGCCAGAUGGGGUGCGCAUAUCUGUAAGCCCAAGCAGUCUAGGAUUUCGGGAUAGCUGCUGGGGUGGAUGUAGGACCCCGCAGCUCUUGCCGCUUUCGUGUGUGUGUGUGUGUGUGUGUGUGUGUGUGUGUGUGUGUGUGUGUGUGUGUGUGUGUGUGUGUGUGUGUGUGUGUGUGCGUGUGCGUGUGCGUGUGCGUGUGCGUGUGCGUGUGCGUGUGCGUGCGCGUGUGCGUGUGCGUGUGCGUGUGCGUGUGCGUGUGCGUGUGCGUGUGCGUGUGCGUGUGCGUGUGCGUGUGCGUGUGCGUGUGCGUGUGCGUGUGCGUGUGCGUGUGCGUGUGCGUAGUGUGCGUGUGCGUGUGCGUGUGCGUAGUGUGCGUGUGCGUGUGCGUGUGCGUGUGCGUGUGCGUGUGCGUGUGCGUGUGCGUGUGCGUGUGCGUGUGCGUGUGCGUGUGCGUGUGCGUGUGCGUGUGCGUGUGCGUCGUGUGCGUCGUGUGCGUCGUGUGCGUCGUGUGCGUGUGCGUGUGCGUGUGCGUGUGCGUGUGCGUGUGCGUGUGCGUGUGCGUCGUGUGCGUCGUGUGCGUAGCACUCUGGGAAAACAAAGUUACCGGACAAUCCAAAAGCUACCGGACAUAUGACCGGACUUACCGGACAAGUGCCGCACCCUACCGGACAAUGCUUGAAACCUACCGGACAAUAGUCCCCGGCGCCCCUUACCGGACAAUGCAGGCCACGAUUUCCCAAAUCUUACCGGACAAUCAGCACCAGCCACAAGCCGGAUCAACUGUACCAUACAUCCUGCUGUUGUUUGUGUACUGUAUUAAGUUUUGUGUUAUAACCAAUUCUGUUAUCUAACCCCACCCCUGGAACGGCAUGGAGGUUAGUUCAUUCACUAGAAUUCUUUCGUGUGGGCGUCUGCUGCAUGGGCAUUUCGUGAGCCUGACUUCAAGCAGCGGCCCAUAGACAUAGCAUGCUAACUUUCAUCAAUGUACUAGCUUACUUAUACUCAAUACACUGCAUUUUGUCUCAGAAUGAGCUCAGCUCGCUGUUCCAGCAGCUGUUCCACUUAUGUUGCUCUCCCUCGCUCUGCUCCCCCUUGCUAAUUUGCGUUUUGAGCACAAAUUAAGGCUAGUUCAAAUGCCAGGAGCUGCUUUGCUGGCUUGGAACGCAAAUCCUUGCGCUGCUGACAGCUCGUUGACCAGCUCGGUGCUGAGCUCGGUGACGCUGCUCAGACGUCAGCUGAGGCCAGCUAUUACGUGAGAGCAACGACUAUGCCUCAUAGUCUAUCAGCUGUGCUUCAAUGUUCAACUGAGGAGUCUCGGUCGCUGGCCUCAACAACACCAUUCAACAUCGCGUUCAGUCAACACCACCCUCGCCCGGCACGCCAUAGUCCACAGGUUAGUCCGCAGGUUAGUCCACAAGUUAGUCAGCAAGUUGGUCCGCAGGUUGACGAUGUGAUGCGUUGAACCUAGUGGUACCUUGCAAUCCAGUGUGCACAGUGUUCAGCUUCUCGCGCUGUGUUGGGGUUGUCUUGUGGGAGCCCCGGCCUACAACACGUGACUGUCUGCUGCCUCCCUUAUUAGCGCUGAAGGUGUGCUUACGGCACGGUACCUUAACCCCGUCUCACACACGCCCUGCCCCGCCACAGCUUGCCAACCCCUGUUGUCCCCUCUGGACCAUACGGCUGGCCGGCCCGCCGCUACACCUCCAGCAUUGUGCUCAGCAACGGUAUGGUACGGUGAACAUGUGGGCGCACACACAUGUACAUGUACAUGUACAGACGCGCCUUAUGUGAUAGGCCCCGUGCACUGCCAAGCACUCUGUCCGUGGCUGGCCUUGACGUGCAUUGGCACCUGCUGCCCACCUUGUGGCAGACGAUUGACUGGGUGUGUCUAUGUGUGUGCACGCGUUCGUGCAGGCGCAGCCGGUGGAAGCAGAGCUACAUACAGGAGCCAGCGUGACACCAGCUGUCUGGCGCUAGAGGUGGAGGCGGGCGCGGCGGUGCCAUUCACGCAAGAUUUACGAGUGGGUGUCCGUAUCUAUCAGCUUUGCUUCAAUGUUUGUCUUCUCGGUUGUGUUAAUGGGAGAUGGGUUUAGGGAGUUGCCAUAGGUGCAGGGCCGUAGGCGGCUUAGGUUAAGUUCACCCUCGCACGCUGUGUGUGUGUGUGUGGGGGGGGGGGCCUUCAACAAAUGACUGUUUGCUGCCUACCUGCCUGCCUGUAAGGUGUUGCCUACCUUGCCAAGACCUUGACCCCGUGUCACAUACCCACCCGCUGCCCUGUCCCGCCACACCUUGGCGCCCACCCCUGCCAUUUCCCGUCCCCCAGACUGCUGGCUGACUGCAACUUCGUUCACCUUCACCAGCAACGGUGAGUGUCCGCUACACAUGUUGGCUCACACAGACACUGUCUUUGUGCUUCGUUGUGUGUGUUGGUGGGAGUUGGCAGGGUAAGUCGGUGUGAAGCAUGACGGAGAUGCUGAGGUGGCUGUAAGGUGGUUCCCUGGCAACCCUGCGUGCACAGUGCUCUUGUCUCUUGUACUCUGCCUCCCUGACUUGGGCCGCAAUGUCUCUGCCGUUUGUGGAGAAGAGUGACUAGCUGUAACGUAUAUGUGUGGCCGCGUGCACGCAGGUGCAACCAGGCAACACAGCCAACAAGCAGGCAGUGGAGGCGCAACUAAGGAUCCAGCAUGGGCAGCAGCUGGUCCAGCACUAGAGGUGGAGGCGGGCAUGAUGGUGCCAAUGACGGAGAUUUGUGUGGAACGGAGGUGGGCAUCAAGGUUGUCGGAUGCGUUGUAUCCAGCAGACACGCAAGUGAUGGGGCUAGUCAUUGUUGCACAUUAGAGUUUGCACGCAUAUAUUUAAUGUAGAUAUCAUAUAACAGGUUUGAUGUAGUGUUGCAUGAGCGUAUGAACUUGUCAACGAUCGAGGAGCAGGUGGCCUCAGGUGCGGCUAGAUGGAUCCCGGAGGACGACGCAGUAUUGGGUGGUGUGCAGUGUGCUUUAUUGGGUGUGAGGCUUCCAAACGGUUCCUGGAAAGAUGCUAAACUUUCCUGUGAAAGGGCUUCAUAUGCCUGAAAGGGCUUCACUUGCCCGUAAGGACUUCAUUCCCCGUGAGUGUGCGGCAAAGCCGAAGGGAGGACGCAAGGGGGGCAAGGUGGAGGAGGAGGAGGUGUACGAUGGGGGUGAAAGUGGCACAAGUAGGGAGGAAAGUGGCAGCGACUGAGCUACCGAGCGAGGUGAAUGGCGUGGCAUGGAUUGGGUACGGCUGGCUACCGGACAUUGGUGCACUACCUUACCGGACAAUGCUUGAAACCUACCGGACAAUGCUUGAAACCUACCGGACAACUGUGCACUACCCUACCGGGCAUUGGUGCACUACCUUACCGGACAUUGCUUGAAACCUACCAGACAAUGCCUGAAAGCUACCGGACAAUGCUUGAAAUCUACCGGACAAUCAUGCACCACCCUACCGGACAUUGGUGCGCGACCUUACCGGACAAUGCCUGAAAGCUACCGGACUCUACUUUACCGGACAAAUUGUCCCGUUAUUAAAUCGCAUUGUCCGGUAACCGAUUAGCCUGAAUGUCCGGUAACAGAUGACCGUAUUGUCCGGUAAGAUUAGGGGUGGGUUUUCCCAGAGUGUAGUGUGCGUGUGCGUGUGCGUGUGCGUGUGCGUGUGCGUGGCACCAGCCGUCCAGCCGCUGGCGUCCGUGCACUCAAUACACUCCUCCGUGAAGCUGCCGACGGCGCCGGCUUGGCUACCGCCGGCCGCCGCCGCCACAGCAG